rnacentral:rRNA from 1 species
GACGAACGCUGGCGGCGUGCUUAACACAUGCAAGUCGAACGGAAAGGCCUGCUUUCCCUUGUGGCUUGCGGGUACUCGAGUGGCGAACGGGUGAGUAACACGUGAGUGAUCUGCCCCCAACUUGGGUAUAAGCCUGGGAAACUGGGUCUAAUUCCCGAUAGGACUGCAGGGUGGUGCCUGUGGUGGAAAACGAUUUUCUAGUGGUUGGGGAUGAGCUCGCGGCCUAUCAGCUUGUUGGUGGGGUAAUGGCCUACCAAGGCGGCGACGGGUAGCCGGCCUGAGAAGCUAGACGUCGACAGUGGGACUGAGAUGCGACCCAGAGUCCUACGCGAGGCAGCAGUGGGGAAGAGUGCACGAUGGGCGGAAGCCUGAUGCAGCGGCGCCGCGUGGAGGAUGACGUGCUGCGUGAGGUAAACUCCUUUCGGCCGCGAGGAAGCCACCUGGUUGGAAGGGUAGUGACGGUAGUGGUAGAAUAAGCACCGGCUAACUACGUG